AGCGAACGCUGGCGGCAGGCUUAACACAUGCAAGUCGAGCGGGUGUAGCAAUACAUCAGCGGCAGACGGGUGAGUAACGCGUGGGAACGUACCUUUUGGUUCGGAACAACACAGGGAAACUUGUGCUAAUACCGGAUAAGCCCUUACGGGGAAAGAUUUAUCGCCGAAAGAUCGGCCCGCGUCUGAUUAGCUAGUUGGUAGGGUAACGGCCUACCAAGGCGACGAUCAGUAGUUGGUCUGAGAGGAUGAGCAGCCACAUUGGGACUGAGACACGGCCCAAACUCCUACGGGAGGCAGCAGUGGGGAAUAUUGGACAAUGGGGGCAACCCUGAUCCAGCCAUGCCGCGUGAGUGAUGAAGGCCCUAGGGUUGUAAAGCUCUUUUGUGCGGGAAGAUAAUGACGGUACCGCAAGAAUAAGCCCCGGCUAACUUCGUGCCAGCCGCCGCCGUAACAC
rnacentral:rRNA from 1 species